rnacentral:rRNA from 1 species
GACGAACGCUGGCGGCGUGCUUAACACAUGCAAGUCGAACGGAAAGGCCCUGCUUGCAGGGUACUCGAGUGGCGAACGGGUGAGUAACACGUGGGUGAUCUGCCCUGCACUUCGGGAUAAGCCUGGGAAACUGGGUCUAAUACCGGAUAGGAGCCAUUUUUAGUGUGAUGGUUGGAAAGUUUUUUCGGUGUAGGAUGAGCUCGCGGCCUAUCAGCUUGUUGGUGGGGUAAUGGCCUACCAAGGCGGCGACGGGUAGCCGGCCUGAGAGGGUGGACGGCCACAUUGGGACUGAGAUACGGCCCAGACUCCUACGGGAGGCAGCAGUGGGGAAUAUUGCACCAUGGGUGCAAGCCUGAUGCAGCGACGCCGCGUGGGGGAUGACGGCCUUCGGGUUGUAAACUCCUUUCGCUAGGGACGAAGCUUUUUGUGACGGUACCUAGAUAAGAAGCACCGGCUAACUACGUG